rnacentral:rRNA from 1 species
AGUGAACGCUGGCGGUAGGCCUAACACAUGCAAGUCGAACGGCAGCACAGUAAGAGCUUGCUCUUACGGGUGGCGAGUGGCGGACGGGUGAGGAGUACAUCGGAAUCUACUUUUUCGUGGGGGAUAACGUAGGGAAACUUACGCUAAUACCGCAUACGACCUACGGGUGAAAGCAGGGGAUCUUCGGACCUUGCGCGAUUGAAUGAGCCGAUGUCGGAUUAGCUAGUUGGCGGGGUAAAGGCCCACCAAGGCGACGAUCCGUAGCUGGUCUGAGAGGAUGAUAGGCCACACUGGAACUGAGACACGGUCCAGACUCCUACGGGAGGCAGCAGUGGGGAAUAUUGGACAAUGGGCGCAAGCCUGAUCCAGCCAUACCGCGUGGGUGAAGAAGGCCUUCGGGUUGUAAAGCCCUUUUGUUGGGAAAGAAAAGCAGCAGGUUAAUACCCCGCUGUUCUGACGGUACCCAAAGAAUAAGCACCGGCUAACUUCGUG